GUAUAAGUUUAUAGGCACAAAGGCCUGUUUAUUACAUUCUAUAAACAUACAUUGGGGUAUAUGAAAAACAUAGACCUGAAAACACAAGGAAAGAACAGAUCACUCCUUAAACCCGAAUCUGCCAGGCAAAUUCAGAGAGAUAUCCAGGUCUACAAAAGGUUCACAGGUGGAGAUAUAAAGAUGACAAGUGUGCACAUGCUCCCUAGAGAACCAGCAGCAACUCAUCAGGUUUAUUUCAAUAAUGAUCCUUCCGCAGGUUCACCUACGGAAA
rnacentral:misc_RNA from 1 species